rnacentral:rRNA from 1 species
AUUGAACGCUGGCGGCAGGCUUAACACAUGCAAGUCGAGCGAGCGGCGGACGGGUGAGUAAUGUAUGGGGAAUGCCCCUUAGAGGGGGAUAACUACUGGAAACGGUAGCUAAUACCGCAUACUAUCGGAUAACCCAUAUGGGAUUAGCUAGUAGGUGUGGUAAUGGCUCACCUAGGCGACGAUCCCUAGCUGGUCUGAGAGGAUGAUCAGCCACACGUGAACUGAGACACGGCCCAGACUCCUACGGAGGCAGCAGUGGGGAAUAUUGCACAAUGGGCGCAAGCCUGAUGCAGCCAUGCCGCGUGGAUGAAGAAGGCCCUAGGGUUGUAAAGUACUUGCAGUCGGGAGGCGUUACCGGCAGAAGAAGCACCGGCUAACUCCGUGCCAGCAGCCGCGGUAAUUC